AGAAUUCUAAAACAAAGAAAGAAAAAACGCGUAGGCCAAUUGAAUAAAUUAAAUUCAGAAAAGCCAUCUCUAUCUUAGUUUUUUCCAAGCAUUUUCCUUGGACAGCUGUUUGCAAGAAUAACAAUUAAAUCUUCAUUUUUUAUUUUAUUUUUGGAUUCCAGAAAUAAGAAAUUUCCACCACUGAUGAAUUCUUCUGCAGGUAACCCUCCAAUUAAUAAGACACUGUUCUCAUCCAACCCAAUUAAGUUAUAAAGUCAAAUUUAUUCUUUUCAACGCGUAUAUCAAACUAUAUAAUAAUAAAUAUAAUAUAUAAGUAUAAUAAUAAUAAUAUACUUAUGUGGUUCUUGUAACUGCAGCCAAAGAAACAGCAACUGCAACUAUGGAGCACAAGAAAUCAACAAGCAGGAAAAAAAGCAGCUUUGCAUUUAGGAUUCAUGAACAUG
rnacentral:lncRNA from 1 species